GGAGAGAUGUCCGAGUGGCUUAUGGUGACGGUCUUGAAAACCGUUGUGCGUUAGUAGCGCACCUAGGGUUCAAAUCCCUAUCUCUCCG
rnacentral:tRNA from 1 species